rnacentral:rRNA from 1 species
AACGAACGCUGGCGGCAGGCUUAACACAUGCAAGUCGAACGCCCCGCAAGGGGAGUGGCAGACGGGUGAGUAACGCGUGGGAACGUGCCCUUCGCUUCGGAAUAGCCCCGGGAAACUGGGAGUAAUACCGGAUACGCCGUAUUGGGAAAGAUUUAUCGGCGAAGGAUCGGCCCGCGUUGGAUUAGCUAGUUGGAGGUGUAAUGGACCCCCAAGGCUACGAUCCAUAGCUGGUCUGAGAGGAUGAUCAGCCACACUGGGACUGAGACACGGCCCAGACUCCUACGGGAGGCAGCAGUGGGGAAUCUUGGACAAUGGGCGCAAGCCUGAUCCAGCCAUGCCGCGUGAGUGAAGAAGGCCUUAGGGUUGUAAAACUCUUUCGCCGGAGAAGAUAAUGACGGUAUCCGGAGAAGAAGCCCCGGCUACUUCGUGCCAGCAGCCGCAGUAACAC